AAGGACGACUACUACGCCCAGUUGGAGGAGUUGCACGGCCGUGUAGCGGACGUCUUUGUGAACUAUCGCCUACAGAGACUAGCUUGUGAUUAGAGACCGUGUUAUUUCCGACUAGACGUUUGGAGACUCUGUCAUGUGUUUUGUGAUGUUUUUCGACGUUUGUGUUGUCUUCUUCUCUAAGUUUUUUACUCUAUUCAAUUUCAGACGUAUAUUCUGUCGUAUUCUACUUCAUUUG
rnacentral:lncRNA from 1 species